AUACCUUUCUCAAUCUUUUAACUAAGAUCAAGUGUAGUAGUGUUCUUAUCAAUUUAAUAUUUGAUAUAAAAAAUUAAAUUAAUUUUUUAUAAGAGAGUCUAUUACAAUAGCUUGUUAUUGGGGUUCUCGAAAAAAAAUAAUAAUUUCAGUUAGCCUCAUUGACUAUCUCUGAGGUGAUCGACCUAGCCCCA